CUCUUUCUUGUCAGGGUCCCACUUCUCUUUUGGGAACACACAGCCUGUUUCUGGAUGCUGACGCUCCUCCGAUAGCCUGCGGAUCAGGUGUUUGACGACGUCAUAGCAACAAGCCGACAACAACAACGACAGAGGAAACGUAUAUGUAACCGUGUGCCUAAAUGGACCUUCAUUCAACAUCUCCGCCAGAGAAAUCGACAAUGGGGUAUGCACAUGGACUACUAAUUUCAGUGAGCCUGCCUCAGUGCUUCUAGUGAAUUGUCAUCCCAUACAGAAUCGCUGCAUUUAAGAUCAGAUUUUUUUUUAAAGUGAUCUUCACUGCCUGACUGAGA